AAGCAGCUGCCAAGGGCUGGUUCCUGCUUCCCAGCGCUUGCCUGCGAUUCAGCACCCGCGCUCUGAAGGGCGCUGCCGCCGCAGGAGGGACUGGCUCUUGCGAAACGAAUGCAGCAUAAGAUUGGAUCUUCUUCUUCCUGGAAGCCUAGAUAAGGAUUGUCUUUGGUUUGAGAUCUGAGUACAAUUGACCCGGGGAAGGGGUUUGGAAGAGCUUAGGAAGAGGCCUAGAAGAACAGCCAAAGGGCUGAAGAAAGUACCACAAGAAUGGUGUUUUGGGCAAGAAAGACAGAGACUUGGGAGAAAACCUGGAGAGAACAGGAGCUGCUCAUACAUCUCCUCCAAAGGACCAUGAAAGAAGCCCAGCAAUAAAAACUUUUGUUGGUCCUGGACCAAAAGAGUGAGCCCUUCACUGAGAGGAAGGCUUUAUAUUUUUGUUGAACUCUGUUUUGAAACUUUAUUUACCUGGGAAGGGGAAGGAGUAACUUUGAUUUAGGCAGAAGCCUAAGCUACCCUCGCAAGAAGAGGGAAACUGAGACAGCAGCUGUACCUGACAGUGAGAGUCACAUAUUGCCAGUUCCUGCUCCAGGACAUGUCAUGCCAUAUAUUAUCCUGAUGACCUUAGAGCCACUACAGAAUGCCGACAGGGCCAGAGGCAGGUUUAUUUUCAAGCCUCCUGUCAGGGACACAUCAACUUCAAGUAGCAACUGAGACACUGUUGUGCCUGUUCCAAGUUAUGCUUUCUGUUAAAAAAAGAAAACUUUGGAAGACAUGAGGAAGAGCAGUACCAGAGGAAAUUUGCUGCACAGUAGUUGUCCACUUUCUGUGGCCAAAACCCCUUCAAGGGAUGUGAAAUUGCCUCUGAAUUACUACCAGACUAUGUUUUAAACUGGAAUCCAUCAUCUAUCUUUGUCCUCAUGGCCCUGAUCAUGAGCACUGCCUAAGCCAUAUGAAUGCUUAACAUCCAGGAUCAGACCCAUAAUGUUUAGGAAUUCUUCUUAUAGGACAGACUGCUUGUCUAAUCAAGGGACACUUAUGGUGUUAUAGAGUCAGACCCUGAAACUGCGAAGAUUUAUGCCUGUGCUUAACUUUAUGUACGCAAAUAGUCCUUGUAAAGGAUUGGGGCCUAAGUUACAUCACUCUCUUCUGGCUGGAACCAGGCUUGUGCCUGUGGAGCCAGUUCCCGCCCUGGGAAAAUCCUGUCUGGGCCCUUCUCAUAGAAUCCAGGGAGAGUAGAUUCCAGUCAGAUUAAUUGCUGUGUAUUUUAUUUCAAGCCUUCUUAAUGUAAACAAGGACCAGUGCUUCACAGCCUCUUCCCAUAAAGUCUGUACAGGUUAAGUCCAUUUCCCUCGAGUCUGUCCCUCACCCCACGAAUUCACCACCCCAAAAGUUCCAGGCUUAUACGUCAGAGCCUUUUUUGUGAUAUUACAGGAUUUUCCCCAGUCUCCCUUCUGUCCAUCUGUUUCUUGGAGCUGCUCUUCACAGCAGUUGCUCCAGCCUCUGGCAGAUAGUGCAGACACCCUGCUCCUCUUUUUCUGAGGAUCAGCCAGUUAAGUUGCUGGUAUUUUCCCAGGUGCAGUGGGUGGGGCUAAUUAGCCAGCCAGCUGCAGGCCUCUGACCCCAGAGGAAUACUAUCCCUUAUACCUUCCCAGUCUUAUUAAAAUCAAUCAAUGAAACUACUUUACUAGCAUAAAAUUAAACAUGUUCUUAGGUCUUUGCAAGAUCAGGGCCUUAAAUUGUAAUCCCACCCACUCCCACCUUCAGCACUGAUGUUUAUUGCUUUCCCUCUCAUACUUGUCUGUGGAAAAGUCUCAUGCCAUUAAGUUAACACUAUGAUGAUGCAAUUAAUACAAUUCCUAAGAAAUAACAGCAACAGAACAUGCUAAAGCAUUAGACAGUGGCUACUCUCUGUGUAGUCUUAAGCUUUACUAGCCAAGAAAAAGAACAAAAGUGAAACCUUGCAUCCUCAGGGUCAGUCACCGCUAGAGAAAGAUGGACCUCUAUACAGAACAAUUCUAGUUCUUAUCAAGUGUCUCAAGAAAUUUUGUCAAGUAGCGCACUGUCAUGAUUUCCUUUGAGAACACAUUGAAACAUGAAAGAAAACAAGCUUCUUACAACAGCAACAUUCUUAUCAAAUACAAUUAAUGAACAACUGCCACUUCAUUUAAGUUUGGCUGCAGAGGCAAAGCAUAAUCACCCAGGAAUGUGCUCUCAAAGUGACAUUAUAUAAACAAGUACUGCUAUGUUCCCCUGUUUGCAUGGGACAGUUGCUAAAGAUGUGUAUUUCAUUAGCCAAUAUUCACAUCUUACGCACAUCUGUUUUCCUGCUCUGCUCUUAACUUUUAACUUAUCAUUUUAAUUAGCACCAUGAAAAUGCUAUGCCUUAUCUUCUUGGCUAUUCCUUGUUUAUUUCUGCUCUGCUUUUCCUGUAAAACAGUUGAAUAAAGAUACAUUGUAAUGCACAAUGAAAAAGAAAAUAUGACCCUAUUACAAAGGACCCAAGACAUUUGACCAAUUAUACGCUAUUGCAAGCAUGAUUUGAUGUAAUUCCUGUAAGUGCCAUUAAUAAAACCAGAGUUACAGGUG